AUAUCUAAUUUACUUCUGAAUUUGUUCCGCGACCGCUUUAUGUAAUUUUGUUGACUAUAAAAGACAGCUUCGUUAAAGCACAAGAGUCAUUUUAUUUCCGAAAAGAUGCAGUUCAAGUCUAUAAGUCUUCUUGCCGUUUUGGCUGUUCUUGCGAAUGGAUUACUAACAGCAGAAUGUUCCAAUCAAGUUCCCAGCUAUUCACCGACUCUUCGUCCUAAUUGGUUCCGUAGAGAUUAAAACUAAAGCAUUUAAUAAAUAAUAUAUGAUAUGUGGAAUCUCGUUUAACUUCUGGAAAAAUCUAUACACAUUUCUGACGAUUUGAGUAGUUGAAAAAUAAAAAAUUUUAUUUGGCACAUCCUUAUAGUUUAAUAUGAUAUUCGUAUUGCUUAAUCUUUAUUUGGGAAAAAAUAAAGUAAAAUGACUAUAGUCUUGGGUUCAAGUCGGUUCGUAUAUAAGAAAUGGGUGUUAUAAUUGUAAGCUAAUAUUAAAACAAGAAAAACAACAUACAUAAAAAGAUAAAAAGGUGUACAUAAUGAAAUCUAAAGCAUGUUAAUUGGCAUAUCUAAUUGACUUAUGAAUUGGCUCUGCUCUUGUCUUCUUAUGUAAAUUCUUUGACUAUAAAAGCCAGCUACACUAAAGCACAAGAGUCACUUCAAUUCAGUAAAGAUGCAGUUAAAAUCAUCAAUUCUUCUUGCCGUUAUAGCCUUAUUGCCGUGUGGCUUAGCAACAGCUGUACGCGGCUUCACCAGACCAUUUAUCAAACCUACUCAGUAUGGUCGUCGUUAACGGAAACAAAUAAAUUAAUGAGAAAGUCUUUAAGUACUUCAGAAUAAAUAAAAAAUAGUAAAAACAA